rnacentral:tRNA from 2 species
GGAGAGGUGUCCGAGUGGUUGAAGGAGCUCGCCUGGAAAGCGGGUGUACGUGCAAAAACGCGUACCGAGGGUUCGAAUCCCUCUCUCUCCG